rnacentral:rRNA from 1 species
CUACGGGUUGCAGCAGUGAGGAAUUUUGCGCAAUGGGGGGAACCCUGACGCAGCAACGCCGCGUGAGUGAUGAAGGCUUUCGGGUCGUAAAGCUCUGUCAAGUGGGAAGAACCUAUGCAGUGUUAAUAUCACUGUAUACUGACGGUACCACUGAAGGAAGCACCGGCUAACUCCGUGCCAGCAGCCGCGGUAAUACGGGGGGUGCAAGCGUUAUUCGGAAUCAUUGGGCGUAAAGGGCACGUAGGCGGCUUGGUAAGUCAGAUGUGAAAGCCCGGGGCUUAACCCCGGAAGUGCAUUUGAUACUGUCAGGCUUGAGUAUGGGAGAGGGAAGUGGAAUUCCUGGUUUAGAGGUGAAAUUCGUAGAUAUCAGGAGGAACACCGGUGGCGAAGGCGACUUCCUGGACCAAUACUGACGCUGAGGUGCGAAGGCGUGGGUAGCAAACAGGAUUAGAUACCCUAGUAGUC